rnacentral:rRNA from 1 species
AACAGGAUUAGAUACCCUGGUAGUCCACGCCCUAAACGAUGUCUACUAGUUGUCGGGUCUUAAUUGACUUGGUAACGCAGCUAACGCGUGAAGUAGACCGCCUGGGGAGUACGGUCGCAAGAUUAAAACUCAAAGGAAUUGACGGGGACCCGCACAAGCGGUGGAUGAUGUGGAUUAAUUCGAUGCAACGCGAAAAACCUUACCUACCCUUGACAUGGCUGGAAUCCUUGAGAGAUCAGGGAGUGCUCGAAAGAGAACCAGUACGCAGGUGCUGCAUGGCUGUCGUCAGCUCGUGUCGUGAGAUGUUGGGUUAAGUCCCGCAACGAGCGCAACCCUUGUCAUUAGUUGCUACGAAAGGGCACUCUAAUGAGACUGCCGGUGACAAACCGGAGGAAGGCGGGGAUGACGUCAAGUCCUCAUGGCCCUUAUGGGUAGGGCUUCACACGUCAUACAAUGGUACAUACAGAGCGCCGCCAACCCGCGAGGGGGAGCUAAUCGCAGAAAGUGUAUCGUAGUCCGGAUUGUAGUCUGCAACUCGACUGCAUGAAGUUGGAAUCGCUAGUAAUCGCGGAUCAGCAUGUCGCGGUGAAUACGUUCCCGGGUCUUGUACACACCGCCCGUCACACCAUGGGAGCGGGUUUUACCAGAAGUAGGUAGCUUAACCGCAAGGAGGGCGCUUACCACGGUAGGAUUCGUGACUGGGGUGAAGUCGUAACAAGGUAACCGUA